UACGAAGGAUGCGAGCGUUAUCCGGAUUUAUUGGGUUUAAAGGGAGCGUAGGCGGUCUUAUAAGUCAGUGGUGAAAUCUCGUUGCUUAACAACGAACGUGCCAUUGAUACUGUAGGACUUGAGUACAGUUGCCGUUGGCGGAAUGUGUCAUGUAGCGGUGAAAUGCAUAGAUAUGACACAGAACACCGAGUGCGAAGGCAGCUGACGAAACUGUAACUGACGCUGAGGCUCGAAAGCGUGGGGAUCAAACAGG
rnacentral:rRNA from 1 species